AAUCGAUUUUCCAGAUGUCCCAAACAGUCAGACAAGAGCUUCAUCAGAGAAAAUUACUUUGCACUAGUCUUCUGCUGUCAAAUCCUUGUACUACUUGCAGAGUUUAUUCUGUCCUUGAUGUUUUUCUCAGGGAGAAGUGGCUUCUUUGCUGCCCUUCUUGACACCAGGCUGUUGUCCAAAAGUCUUGGCCACACAGUGCAUGCAGAUGCCCUCACACCAACCUGCUGCCAUUCCUGAGCAAGUUCUGCACAGCUGGUGACACAGUUCUGAAGUUGACUCAUCAGGAGGAGAUGAUCCUGACACUUGCUGGACACUCUGGGACGUCCUGAAGACUUCUUCACUGCAGUAAAUCCUCUCUCCUUGAAGUUGUUGACGAUCUGAUAAAUGGUUCUUUCAGGUCCAAUGUCUGUAGGUCUCACACCACUGGACUUUUUCUGUGUUUCUGUGGGCCACACCAGACUGCUCCUGGUCCUUGCUGCUUUAACCAGCUACCCGGACGACAUACUCUGUGCAUUCUACUAUGCCAGUUUAAACAUCGCCGCCUUUGUGGAGUGGACACUGGCGUUCCACUCCCAAUCCAGUGCCCAGUCCACCAUCUCCCUGAUGUGCGGAGAGCUUGCAUGAGCCCACAGCUGUCAGAGAGCCUCAGCCCACCAUGACCGACGAGCUAUUACCGCAUGGAGCAACAGUGCGGAGGAUCACUGCGGAGCCAGUGAUGCUAGUGACGUCAGUCAAGGUGUAAGAUCCGGCAACAGAGCCUGCCAUGAGGGAGAAUGCAGAUAAUAAAGAGAGCACGGAGUGGAGCUCUGCCCACUGUACCAUGGCUGAGGGUGAGUUUAUAAUACAGCUGGGAUUGUUGGACUUAUAGAUUUGGAAACAGAGCUGGAACCCGACUUGCCCCCUCCAUUCUCUCCUUUGUCCCAGUUGGUCCAGUCCAGCCCUGAGUGGGCUUCUGUUUCCCAGUUCGGCCCAAAGAGGGUUCCAUUCCCCAAGUUUAGCCCAGAGAAAGUUCCUGUUCCCACAUACAGCCUGAGGGGGGCUCCUGUUCAUGAGUUCGGCCCUGAAAGCCCAGAGGCUCAUAAAUGUCUGCCCUCCCACCCACUCCUGCCUCUUCCUGCACUGUCAUCUGGCAGCUUCUCUGCUUGCCCUCAGUCCACCAUUAGCACGAUGCAAGCUCUGCGGGACUGCCAUCCUCCAUAGUUGCUGUGGCUGAAGUUUUCCUUCACUCCUCCUUUAGCCUUUAAGCCCCAGACUCCAGCUGGGUCAGUGAACCUGUCGGCUCCACCAUAGCUCCAAGCUCCCUCCUCUCCGCCAUGGCCGGCAGUCCACUAGCUCCAUCGGGCUCCCUCAUUCCUCCAGCUCCACCUUGGUCUGCCGUUGACCAUCCUGCACCUUGGGGCUUAACUUGUCCGGCUGCAUCUCGUCCCUUUGUCCCUCCAGCUCCUCCUCAGUCACUGUCACUCUGGCUCCAUCGUGGCCUUUUGGAUUCAUGCCUCGCAUCAGUCACCAGUGCCAUCUGCUCCGCCUUGGCCCUCCAGAUCUUCCAUGUUGCCAUGGCUCAUUGACUCUCCUGCCACUUGCUCUGCCACAGUUGGCCACCCCCCUGGAGUUGUCGGCCCUUCCUCCUCCAUGGCUCAUCCCUCCGUCGGUUCCACUGUGGGUUACUGUCAUGGCUGUGGCCUGGGUCUCACCUGGCUCCUCCUGUUCCAAGCCACUCUUGUUUCCUCCUUGGCUGCUUCCUGGACCCUGGACUCCGUUCAUCAUACUCCUCCCGGGAGUAUGCCUGACCUAGUUUUCCCAUGUUAAUUGUUUCAUUUGAUUCCAGGUGUGUCUUGUUGUUCCCCAAAUAACUUUGAGUCUGUUCAGUCUGUGGUUGUCAGGUCUACUAUGUUGUGUUCAUGUGUCAUUCCUCGUUACUAGUUCCUGACUUGGAUUUAACCCUGUGUCUUGGAUCUAAUAAAGAUUAUUUUGUGUA